rnacentral:tRNA from 1 species
CGCGGAGUGGAGCAGCGGUAGCUCGUCGGGCUCAUAACCCGAAGGUCGGGGGUUCAAAUCCUUCCUCCGCUACCA